GACAGAGGGUGCAAACGUUGUUCGGAAUUACUGGGCGUAAAGCGCGUGUAGGCGGCUGCGCAAGUCGGAUGUGAAAUCCCAUGGCUCAACCAUGGAAGUGCACCCGAAACUGCGUAGCUAGAGUCUCGGAGAGGAAGGCGGAAUGCUUGGUGUAGAGGUGAAAUUCGUAGAUAUUAAGCGGAACACCGGUGGCGAAGGCGGCCUUCUGGACGAUGACUGACGCUGAGACGCGAAAGCGUGGGGAGCAAACAGG
rnacentral:rRNA from 1 species